AGGAUAAUAGUUAAUUAUAACAUUUAAUUUGCACUUAAAAAGUAUUGAUCCUCAAUUUAUCUUA
rnacentral:tRNA from 1 species